GCAACGGCGAGGCGCCGCGGCUCGGCUUCGCGCUGCCCUCGCCUGAGCCCGACCGGCUUCGCGCCUACGAGCUGGGCCGCAGGAACGGCUCGCUGCCCAACAACAGGAUGGAGCCGCUGCCCGAGCUGCCGUCUGUCGACGACCUGGUGCAGAGCACGCGCGAGGUGGCCAACUGGCUGGAGAAGAACGUGGCGCUGCGGGAGGCGCCAG